rnacentral:rRNA from 1 species
UACGGGGGGGGCAAGCGUUGUUCGGAAUUACUGGGCGUAAAGGGCGCGUAGGCGGUUCGAUAAGUCAGCUGUGAAAACCAUGGGCUUAACUCAUGGCCUGCAGUUGAGACUGUCGGGCUGGAGUGUGGGAGAGGAGAGUGGAAUUCCUGGUGUAGCGGUGAAAUGCGUAGAUAUCAGGAGGACCACCGUUGGCGAACUCUGCUCUCUGGACCACACCUGACGCUGAGGCGCUUCAUCUAGGGGAGCAAACCGG